GACGUCUCCUCUUGAAAGUUGGAUUACUGUGCACUUCUGGAUCACAGGCUAUUCGCAGCUGGACACAUCCUUCUAACUAACACUGUAUGCAAACAUGCAACAUCAUAACACACAGUACAAGGAGUCAGACUGGCAUAUGAGGAGCAAAGGAACCCAGGCAGUAGCAUCUUUUCACAAUGUUUCCAUCACCAUCAUCAGUGGAUGCCUUUGCCGUCCGUAACCUGAGAUUUCAGAUUUGCAGCAAAAAAAAUUGAUUUUCUCAUUUAUUGGAAUGCUAUGCAGGUAUUUAAGUAUUUUAGUAACUUUGUUAAAUAAAGUAGUAUUUACUUUUACAAUAAAUUAAUUGCUUGUUUAUAUUUUACAGGUAUUUGUACCUUGCAGCCAUCCAUUACAAUGUCACCAAGCCGUAACAAAAGCAGGAGAGGGAAAGUACAAGGCUAUGUUCCCAAAACACAAAUGACAUACCUUAUGUGGAUGAUGUGAUCAGGCUUGUGUUUGAUGAGGUAUUUGAAGAUAAGCUGAAGGAAACCCCGAUUCCAAUGGACCUGGCAUCACAGUUUGAGAAACCUUCAAAGGAGGACGUGAUUGCAUGCCAUCUUCAGUGCAGGGGUCGUCGAAAGCCAAAAUUGUGACCGAUCUGAUCAGGAAGCUCCAAGCGUAUCUGGAGAACAACACACGACAGGAUGAUAACCUUAUAGUGUCGUCUUAGAUAGCACCAGCUGACAAAGCUUUGAUAUGCCAUUUAUCUGAAUAGAUAGCUGUAAGAAAUGAAUUGAACAAUUUUUGAAAGAAGAGCACAAUAUGGUUACUAAAGUAUGUUUAUUUGUAUAUUGUUUAACAUUUAAAUAUAUAUUUGUAAUAAAUAAAAAAAACUUUUGACUGACUAUUAUAUUUUCUUUAAAGUUACAUCUUUUGUUCUUUUGGGUACUUUGUUACUAUAAUAAUACUUUAGUGUUAUUGGUUUAAAAAUGUAAUAAAACUUACUCUAGUCCUGCACCUCAAAGGCUUAUAGUCGGUACAAUAAAUGUUCUGUGUGUAGGGAUUUAGACAAUUUGUGCAAAACCUGGAUGAUGAAUCACGCAGGUAAGAGGCCCUGGAACCUGUUGCAUUCUCCUUAAAACCUAGUAAGUAAAAACA